AGCAAUAAAUCAUGUCCAAAGAGUGACAACAUGGCACAAAAAAAAAGAAGAGGGACAAAUUAUGUUUACAUUAAAUCUAUAACUGUACACUGCAUUUACUUUUUGAGAAUGUUCUUUUACACUUAAUGGAAAGAAAAAUUGUUCAUUUAUACACCAAUGUUUUAAAAUUUGUUGUGGGGUUUUAUAUAAUCAAACUCUAGUAAGCUUUCACUAAAAGAAAAGGAAGCAAACAGAACGCUUGACUUGUUUAAUCAAUAACACAUUAGCAAUGUAAAUUGAAAAAACAAAAAACAAAAAAAAAAAAACAUUUUCAUAGCUCUAAAAACAUCACUACAAUCACAACCAUAAAUUGCACAAUCUUCCAUUUCUUGUGCAUAUGAGAGGGGAAACUUUUCAAAGGAUUUAGCACUGCUGCUGAAAGCCUGAAAACUAUCAGCGCUCCAUUAGCUCCACUGGCUCUUAAGGCCAUCUCCCGUUACACCCCCAGCAUCUAGGGGAUCGAUUUCUGGGCUCGAGUUUGCUCUCCGCGGCCCUCUAAUGGCAGACGAGGCGGGGAGUCAGGGGUAAUACUAUACAUGCUGACGAGAUGCCUCCCAGAAGACAAAAAGGACAGGGAGUGGUGGGAUGAGAGGGUAGAAGAUGAAAGCAGUUGCUACUGAAAACACUGAGGCCAGGAAAGCAGAAGAGCCUGGAAGUGUGACUGACGACGGAAAGGAGAAGAGAAGAGAGCAGAGAUGGAGAGGCUGAGCUCAGGAGAAAGACCAAGAGGAGAGAACUUGAGCAUGACUCCAAGAAGAAGAGCUCUUCUGAAGACGAAUCGAAAUAAACAGACUUGAAGAUGUGAGACAGACUUCAAGUCUUCUUAAAGAAACCGGGUCGCCCAGCUCUGUAAUGUGCAGAGCAAGCUAAGACACUGAAACACAGUCAUCAUGUCGAGGCUGAAGAGCAGCAUAUAGCGUUGACUAAGUGGGAUGCGUCAGUGAUCCCCUCGUGAAUAUGACUGACCUGUCGAAGGAGUGGAACUGCAUGGGCAGCAUGGGAUGCGUCUUCAGAGCGGGGUCCGGGUG